UACUGCCUGUCAGGACAUCCCACCUUGCCAUGCAACGUGCUCAAGUUCAAAUCCACCACCAUCAUGCUGGACUGUGGGCUGGACAUGACGUCCACCCUCAACUUCCUGCCGUUGCCUCUGGUCCAGAGCCCCAGGCUUUCCAAACUUCCUGGUUGGGUUUUGAAAGAUGGAAGCACUUUUCUGGACAAGGAGCUCAAGGAGUGCUCUGGCCACGUGUUUGUGGACUCGGUGCCUGAGUUCUGCUUGCCAGAGACUGAACUGCUUGACCUCUCCACAGUGGAUGUGAUCUUGAUCUCCAACUAUCACUGCAUGAUGGCACUGCCCUACAUCACAGAGUACACAGGGUUCACUGGCACAGUCUAUGCCACCGAGCCCACUGUUCAAAUUGGCAGACUCCUCAUGGAAGAACUGGUGAAUUCCAUUGAACGCGUGCCAAAGGCUCAGUCUGCCUCCAUGUGGAAGAACAAGGAGGUGCAGAGGUUGCUGCCGGCGCCGCUGAAGGACGCGGUGGAGGUGUCCAUGUGGAGGAAGUGCUACACCAUGCCAGAAGUGAAUGCAGCCCUCAGUAAGAUCCAGCUCGUGGGAUAUUCCCAGAAAAUUGAGCUGUUUGGUGCUGUGCAGGUCACCCCCCUGAGCUCGGGCUACGCUCUGGGAAGUUCCAACUGGAUCAUCCAGUCGCACUAUGAGAAGGUUUCCUACGUUUCAGGAUCCUCUCUACUUACAACACACCCUCAGCCCAUGGACCAGGCUUCUCUUAAAAACAGUGAUGUUCUCAUCCUGACGGGCCUGACCCAAAUCCCCACCGCCAACCCGGAUGGAAUGGUGGGAGAGUUCUGCAGCAACUUGGCGAUGACUGUCCGGAACGGAGGGAACGUGCUGGUUCCCUGCUAUCCCUCUGGAGUGAUCUACGACCUGCUGGAGUGCCUGUACCAGUACAUUGACUCUGCAGGGCUCUCCAAUGUCCCUUUUUAUUUCAUCUCACCUGUUGCCAACAGCUCCCUGGAGUUCUCCCAGAUCUUUGCUGAGUGGUUGUGUCAUAACAAACAAACAAAGGUGUAUCUUCCAGAGCCUCCUUUUCCCCAUGCUGAGCUCAUUCAGACAAACAAAUUGAAGCAUUAUCCCAGCAUCCACGGGGACUUCAGCAAUGACUUCAAGCAGCCCUGUGUUGUGUUCACUGGGCAUCCCUCUCUGAGGUUUGGGGAUGUGGUGCAUUUCAUGGAGUUGUGGGGAAAAUCCAGCUUGAACACUGUCAUCUUCACAGAACCUGAUUUCUCUUACCUGGAUGCUCUGGCUCCGUAUCAGCCCUUGGCAAUGAAAUGUGUUUACUGUCCCAUUGACACAAGGCUCAAUUUUAUUCAGGUGUCUAAAUUACUCAAAGAAGUCCAGCCCCUGCACGUGGUGUGCCCGGAGCAGUACACGCAGCCCCCGCCCACCCAGUCGCACCGCACGGACCUGAUGGUGGACUGCCAGCCCCCGGCCAUGUCCUACCGCCGCGCCGAGGUGCUCACCCUGCCCUACAAGCGCCGCUACGAGAAGAUCGAGAUCAUGCCAGACCUCGCAGAUUCCCUCGUGCCCUUGGAGAUCAAGCCUGGCAUUUCCUUGGCAACAGUCUCUGCUGUGCUGCACACCAAGGACAACAAGCACGUGCUGCAGCUCCCUCCAAAGCCUCCCCAGCCUCCUGCCAGCAAGAAGAGGAAGCGAGUGAGUGAUGAUGUGCCGGAGUGUAAAGCUCUGAAGCCGUUGCUGAGCGGCUCCAUUCCUGUGGACCAGUUUGUGCAGACUCUGGAAAAGCACGGGUUCAGCGACGUGAAGGUGGAGGACACGGCCAAGGGCCACAUUGUCCUGCUGCAGGAGGCCGAGACCCUCAUCCAGCUCGAGGAGGACUCCACACACAUCAUCUGUGACAAUGAUGAGCCUCUGAGGGUCAAACUGAGAGACCUGGUCCUCAAAUUCCUGCAGAAGUUUUAGCUCCUGGACAUCCCACUGCUCCUGCAAGGAGAGAGCCCAGAGCGGGGAGACUCGGAGCUCUCUGCUGUUUUGGAAUACUUUGGAGGAGAUCCCUGUUGUGUAAAAUUGGGAGUUGGAAUAUUCCAGGAGCCACGAACUGCAGAGUGAAUUAACUCCAGUGCGUGUGUACAGCACCAGGGUAAACUGCUGCUCCUCUGUGUGACCCUCAGCAGUGUCUGCCCCAGUCCUUCCCCUGACAAAACUCUGUAGGAAUAUGGAAACAAUGGCCUGAGAGAUUUCUUUUUCCUCCCACUGUUUCUUCCCAGUCACCAGAUCCAGUUUUUCCUGUCCUCCAUCCACAUUGGACACGUGUACUGCACUGGCACGAGGAGGAUCAGAAAGCUGGUGAGGCAAAGAUUGUAGAAAUAAAAGCAGAAAAGGGGGAUCUGAUGGACAUGUGGAAUGUGGGAAGGGCCUGGCCAUUCCCUGCACAAGCAGAGGGAUGUUGGAAAAGCUUUAUCCUUUAGGAAUUCCAGGUGUUUGUUGAUGCUGCAGCUUCACCUCUUAUAACCACAUCUGUCCAUGGAGCUCCAAGCUCUUCACUGAGCCAAACUAAAGCUGGUUCCUGCUGGUUUCCUCCAUCAUCAGGGGAGGAAAUACCUCAGGAGGACACUUAGGGGAGUCCAUAAAGUGGUUACAUUCCUAGUGCUCAUAAAAAACCUUGGAGAUUUAAGUGCCUCUUGUUUCUACCUUCCAAAAAACUGUCCUUCCGGCCCCCACAUCCCAAAUCCUGGGUGGAACACUGAGUCAUUCACACAAAGCCAUCUGUGCUGCAGACCUGGGGAGGGUUUUCCCUCCCCAAAUCACAUAUUUUGGGGGCCUAAACUUAGUCAAUAGUUUUGCUUUCACGGGCGACCGAUUUCUGGGAUUUACGGCUGUUUGCUUUUUAUUGGGUUGUUUUGUAUUUAUUUGGUGUCAAAAAAAAUAAAAAGCAUUAGUGAGACUGCCAA